rnacentral:rRNA from 1 species
UACGUAGGGGGCUAGCGUUAUCCGGAAUUACUGGGCGUAAAGGGUGCGUAGGUGGUUUCUUAAGUCAGAGGUGAAAGGCUACGGCUCAACCGUAGUAAGCCUUUGAAACUGGGAAACUUGAGUGCAGGAGAGGAGAGUGGAAUUCCUAGUGUAGCGGCGAAAUGCGUAGAUAUUAGGAGGAACACCAGUUGCGAAGGCGGCUCUCUGGACUGUAACUGACACUGAGGCACGAAAGCGUGGGGAGCAAACAGG